AUUGAACGCUGGCGGCAGGCCUAACACAUGCAAGUCGAGCGGAUGAAGGGAGCUUGCUCCUGGAUUCAGCGGCGGACGGGUGAGUAAUGCCUAGGAAUCUGCCUGGUAGUAGGGGAUAACGUCCGGAAACGGGCGCUAAUACCGCAUACGUCCUGAGGGAGAAAGUGGGUGAUCUUCGGACCUCACGCUAUCAGAUGAGCCUAGGUCGGAUUAGCUAGUUGGUGGGGUAAAGGCCUACCAAGGCGACGAUCCGUAACUGGUCUGAGAGGAUGAUCAGUCACACUGGAGCUGAGCCACGGUCCAGACUCCUACGGGAGGCAGCAGUGGGGAAUAUUGGACAAUGGGCGAAAGCCUGAUCCAGCCAUGCCGCGUGUGUGAAGAAGGUCUUCGGAUUGUAAAGCACUUUAAGUUGGGAGGAAGGGCAGUAAGUUAAUACCUUGCUGUUUUGACGUUACCAACAGAAUAAGCACCGGCUAACUUCGUG
rnacentral:rRNA from 1 species